rnacentral:rRNA from 1 species
AAUCAACGCUGGCGGCGUGCCUCAGACAUGCAAGUCGAACGAUUAAAGCUCUCUUCGGAGAGUGUAUAGAGUGGCGCACGGGUGAGUAACACGUAAGUAAUCUACCCUCGAGUGGGGAAUAACGUCCGGAAACGGACGCUAAUACCGCAUAAUGCAGCGGCACCGCAAGGUGACAGUUGUUAAAGGAGAAAUUCGCUUGAGGAGGAGCUUGCGGCAGAUAGCUUGUUGGUAAGGUAACGGCUUACCAAGGCUACGAUCUGUAACCGGUCUUAGAGGACGGUCGGUCACACUGACACUGAGUAACGGGUCAGACGUCCUACGGGAGGCAGCAGUCGGGAAUUUGGGCAAUGGGCGAAAGCC